rnacentral:rRNA from 1 species
UACGUAGGGUGCAAGCGUUAAUCGGAAUUACUGGGCGUAAAGCGUACGCAGGCGGCUAUGUAAGACAGGUGUGAAAUCCCCGGGCUUAACCUGGGAACUGCAUUUGUGACUGCAUAGCUAGAGUCUGUCAGAGGGGGGUGGAAUUCCACGUGUAGCAGUGAAAUGCGUAGAGAUGUGGAGGAACACCGAUGGCGAAGGCAGCCUCCUGGGCCAGCACUGACGCUCAUGCACGGAAGCGUGGGGAGCAAACAGG